GUGUUGGAAUAGUUUGACGAGCUACUGACUUUAUAGAACUGAUCUGCAAUUAUGUUAGUUAUGUCUUGCAGUUUAUUGAUAUAGCUCCGACUUUCUUCCAGACAUCAUUACUGGUAGUCUCUGGUGUCAUGGUUGUUACAUAAUGUUGCCAUGAAAUUCUUUGGGCUUCUAGUAUUCCCCUACGACACUGAGAUCUUCGUUUUUUGAACUCUACAAGAUUCUCCAACGUAGGAUUUCGACGAAAUUUAUUUAGAGCUUUUUUCUUUAAUGCUAUUUUUUCUUUGAUUUCAGGUGACCACCACGGGACCAUCUUUCGCCUAUUGCCAGGUUUAGAUUUAGAUAUGCUGGCGUCAGCGGCGUUUAUGAUGGAAGAGGUAAUGGUUUUAACAUUUAGAUUGUCUUGAUUAGGAGGGACGAGGACUUGUGUGAAGAGUUCCCAAUUUGCUAAUUGGAUUUUAUAUUUAGCUAUCGUUUUUAUUGGAAGAUUGUGACCCCUGACUGUGAUAAUAAUGGGAAAAUGGUCACUAUGAUGUAGAUCAUCUUCCACCUCCCAUUUCAGGCUAGUAUGUAUACCUGGUGAACAUACUGAUACAUCGAUGGAGUCAAAUGUGCCUGAUCCUGCAUUGAAAAAUGUAGCGGAGCCAUCAUUUACAUCAUUUGAUCUGGAGCCCCAAACGGUGUUGUGGGAAUUAAAAUCCCCAACAAGAAUAAAUGGUGGUGGAAGCUGCCCAAUAAUUUUUCGAAUUUCUUCGACAUCAUAAUUUGUAUUGGGAGUGUAAAUAUUACAAAGUGUACACGAUCUACUAAUUUCAAGUUUAACGGCUACAGCCUGGUAAGUUGUAUGUAAUUUAACUUGUUUAUAAGGUGUUCCUUUGUGAAUGAGAAAUGCUACUCCUCCACAGGCUCUUGCAGGUGAGUAGAAAUCCUUUCUAAUUAAACUGAAAUUUUUAACAUUGUACUUUGUUCCAGGUUUUAAAUGUGUUUCCUGAAUGGCAACACACAAUGGUGUGUGCCUUUGUAUAAGUAGUUUUAGUUCAUUUAAGUUGUUGGAUAGUCCUCUACAAUUCCAUUGUAUAAUUUUUGUACCCCUUUCGAAGAUUUUUGUAUAUAAAGACAAUCACGGUGAGAUAAAUAACAUAAAUAAAUAACAAAUAACAAUGUAUAUGGGACUAUUACAAAUAAAAUGAACAGAUAACUAGGAUAUCACAGAUUGUAUCACAAAUUAAUUGGUACAAGACCCUCUUGGCCCCGAAUUGCGGGGUUUCCUGGGUUUGCCUUUCGGCCACCCUUUCCUCUUCCUCUGUUGCUUUGCCUCAGUAACUUUAUCAUCAUCUACGGAUGUGACACUCGAUUCCCUAGAUCGAGACAAAGCGGGAGACGUCUUACGUUUAGACCCCCGCGUCUCUGCGUCCAUACCCUCUACCUCUGACGCCGUAGU